rnacentral:rRNA from 1 species
GACGAACGCUGGCGGCGUGCUUAACACAUGCAAGUCGAACGAUGAAGCGGUGCUUGCACCGUGGAUUAGUGGCGAACGGGUGAGUAAUACGUGAGUGACCUACCUUUGACUCUGGGAUAAGCCUGGGAAACUGGGUCUAAUACCGGAUAUGACCAAUCUCUGCAUGGGGUGUUGGUGGAAAGCGUUAUGGAGUGGUUUUAGAUGGGCUCACGGACUAUCAGCUUGUUGGUGAGGUAAUGGCUUACCAAGGCGACGACGGGUAGCCGGCCUGAGAGGGUGACCGGCCACACUGGGACUGAGACACGGCCCAGACUCCUACGGGAGGCAGCAGUGGGGAAUAUUGCACAAUGGGCGCAAGCCUGAUGCAUCGACGCCGCGUGAGGGAUGACAGCCUUCGGGUUGUAAACCUCUGUUAGCAUCGAAUAAGCGAAAGUGACGGUAGGUGCAGAGAAAGCGCCGGCUAACUACGUGCCAGCAGGCGCGGUAAUACGUAGGGCGCGAGCGUUGUCCGGAAUUAUCGGGCCUAAAGAGCUUGUAGGCGGUUGGUCGCGUCUGCUGUGAAGGCCGGGGCUUAACUCCGGUUUUGCAGUGGGUACGGGCUAACUAGAGUGCAGUAGGGGAGACUGGAAUUCCUGGUGUAGCGGUGGAAUGCACAGAUAUCAGGAGGAACACCGAUGGCGAAGGCAGGUCUCUGGGCUGUAACUGACGCUGAGAAGCGAAAGCAUGGGGAGCGAACAGGAUUAGAUACCCUGGUAGUCCAUGCCGUAAACGUUGGGCACUAGGUGUGGGGGACAUUCCACGUUUUCCGCGCCGUAGCUAACGCAUUAAGUGCCCCGCCUGGGGAGUACGGCCGCAAGGCUAAAACUCAAAGGAAUUGACGGGGGCCCGCACAAGCGGCGGAGCAUGCGGAUUAAUUCGAUGCAACGCGAAGAACCUUACCAAGGCUUGACAUGCAUUAGAUCGCGUCAGAGAUGGCGUUUCCCUUCGGGGCUGGUGUACAGGUGGUGCAUGGUUGUCGUCAGCUCGUGUCGUGAGAUGUUGGGUUAAGUCCCGCAACGAGCGCAACCCUCGUUCUAUGUUGCCAGCGGUUCGGCCGGGGACUCAUAGGAGACUGCCGGGGUCAACUCGGAGGAAGGUGGGGAUGACGUCAAAUCAUCAUGCCCCUUAUGUCUUGGGCUUCACGCAUGCUACAAUGGCCGGUACAGAGGGUUGCGAUACUGUGAGGUGGAGCUAAUCCCUUAAAGCCGGUCUCAGUUCGGAUUGGGGUCUGCAACUCGACCCCAUGAAGUCGGAGUCGCUAGUAAUCGCAGAUCAGCAACGCUGCGGUGAAUACGUUCCCGGGCCU